rnacentral:tRNA from 1 species
UAGCUCAAUGGUAGAGCAUGUGCUUAGCAUGCAUAAAGCUGUGGGUUCAAUCCAC